GCCACUCGUCUUAAUUCAAUGACAUGCAAUGAAUAUAUGCCUAUUCCCCAAGGUUUUGGAGAGAGAGAGAGAGAGAGAGAGAGAGGAGAUGAUGAAAGGAAGAAAACCUAAAGAACUGAGAAGAGUGCCGGAGUUCAAAAUCAAAGCAAAGGUAUUAAGAAGAAAAAUGGGAGAGGGGGAAAGAAAAUGAAGAAUACUUCCUCUCUCAAGGAACCUAGAUUCUACACAUGUGAGGUACUUUUCUGUGUUUUCAGACUGUUAAUUUAUUUAUUUUAUUUAUUUUCCUUAUUGAAUUAUUUCAACUAAAGCAAGAACACAUCAUAAAAAAAAACUGUUCCUCUCUAAAGAGUUUUAUGUUACAUUUUAUUUCUACAUAUCACCACACCGUAGGUACCAUUCAAAAUGAGCAUUAUUCCCUAAUUUUAUACUAAUCUCACUGAUUUUAUAGAUGUAAUCAAUCUUACUCAAUCCAAUUCAAUUCAAUAAACACCUAGAGACGUAAGUAGAAAUCUGCUAUCACUAUUAUCGUGGAAAUUACGAGAUUGUGAUGGGCAUUACACGAAGGACAAGGUUUUGGUCAGUCGGCCUAGUCACCUUUUCCAUCUAACAUCCAUCUCUAAGUUGGAUGUAAGAAAAUGUUACAUCCACUAAAAGCAAGUUAGAAUGGAAUUCAAAUAAUAACAUUUAUAUUUUUUAAAAAAACAAAAAUUUCAAAUUUAGAUCACUGUCGAUUAUUGAACCCUAGAAUUUUAGAUUGAAAAUACAAGAUAUAUUUUGUACAGAGACCGCACAAGAAUAGUGUGAGUCGGCCAACUCACGAGACAAUUUUUCUUACACAAAAGUGACAAACACCCCAAGCCAUAUGACCUAAGAUCGGUAACUUGGGGUGUGUCAAUUUUCAACAUAGGGUUUGAGAAUUUUUUUAUUGGAUUUUGAAUAUAGUCAACAAUACUACACUAGCUGUCUAAUUUUAUAUCUGAUGGCUACGAGUGAUUGUGACCGUUUUGUGUCAAAGGUAAGCGAUUAUAGUAUGUAUUUUUAACUUUUAAUAUUAAGGUAAUAUUUUUUUUGAAAAAGUAUACUAUGAGACCAUUUGUCUUUGUACAAGGUAGUCAAAAUUAAUCUUGACCAUUGGAUGUGAGAUUGGGUGACGUUAUUUAUUCCAUUGACCAAGCUCAAAGCUCAAAAAGAAUUUUCUCGAAAUUUAUGACACGCCCAAGUUACCAAAUUUCAUAUCGGAUGGUCAUAAGUAAUAGUGACCUUCAUUCUACCCAAAAAAAAUAAUCUCUUUAUAUACAAUCCCGUGUUUGUUUUAUCAUUCGCCAAGUGCUUGUCCUGCUUACAAGCUACUCGUGGAUGAAUACUAGGGAAAGAGUAUUGUGGUCUAUAAGAUUUAGAAAUUUUGUAGUCAUGAAUUUUAUCACCAUCCAAUCAUUGAUGGAAAUCGAUACACAAGAGUCGAGGCCGCUAGAACAAAAGGAGUAGGGUUACUCUUUCUCCAUCAUCAUAGAUUUCUAAUGGAUGAUGAUUGGAACUUAUGACCACAGAUUUUCAAUGGACAUAUGAAUCAAAACGAUCAUUCCUUAAAACAUUAAAUUACCAUGGAAAAUAAAAAACACUAGAACAAUAAUAACCAUAUAUUUGCUCUAUGCGGUUAAGUUAUUUUAUAUCCAAAUAAUUAAAAGAUACCAUUGACAUUCAUUAUACCAAAAGCAUAUUAGUCCACAGUAUUGUUAUAAGGGAAAAUUUUAUAUAACGUUGCAACUUCAUAUUAUAGAAUUGAAGUGCACCUCAAAAUACCAGUACAAAAGUGUGUUAUGGAGUUGGGGAACCUUCCAAUUGAUCAUGGAUGAAUAUAAGAAAAAAAUAAUAAUUUCAAAUCUUAAAAAUAGUAUGUCUUGUAACUAAUUAUUUGGAUUAUUAAUUUUCAAGAUUUUUAAAUGUUUAUAGAUAUGCUCGAUCUGAAUCUUUUUUGAAAAUUUAAAUUUUAUAAUUAUAGUUGAACAUGAGUUUUCAAGCUUUUCCAAAGUUUUAGAAACCGGAGCUACAUCUCUCUGGAUAUUUAGAGGAGUAUAGUAUAAGGUGAGCACCUUAUACAAACCUCAUCCUAGUUAUAAUGCAUAUUACAUGAUGAAAUUUUCGAAAGCUUAAGUACUCUAUGUUAGUAAUUGGGUUUUGAAUAGUUUGCUAGCAUCUCCUAGACCAUUUGAUGUCAAGAAGGGAUGGUGGUGUGGUGUUGUUCCUCUGCUCACAAUCCGCUCAGAGAAAAGGCACCAACCAACCAUCCGAAGCCUAAGUGCUGGCAUAGUACAGGGAGUCCAGCUUGUUUUAGAAAUAAAUCUUAUUUUCCUUGUUUUUCACAAACCAACUCACUUUUUUUGUUUUUUUAAAACUUGAAUUUGGGUUUGGGAUCCAAUGAAGCAAUUUGGACAAGGCGAAUCAAGCACUUCGGAUAGACCGAAUCAAGGGAAAAGGUACUGAAAAAUAAACAGGUGGGAGUUGAUAUGUUAUCAGGGCCAUAGACUCAAAUCACCCAUUCCCUAAGCCUGAUUUGGAUUGGGCAAUUUCAAUCUAGAUCACCGUUUUUUAAAACCUUGCUUUUAACUUAAUUUAAGGUACAUCCGUGCGCUUUUUAUUUUUAUUAUUAUAAAAAAGACAUAAUCAUCCUUAAUUGCUAAAUGUGAAAUCAGGGCACUAAUGAUGUACUGUACUAUUGUCUGUGCUUGAAGGACAAAAAAGUUUUCCGAGAUAUGACACAUUACAACUAUCUAACGUUUUAUUUGAUGACUUGAGGUGUAUGUGAACAUGUCUGCUAAAGAUAAUGGUCUCAUUAUAUACAAUCCCUAUAAUGAAAAGUGAAAGUUAUACAUGUGUUUAUAUCGAUUCCUUGUUCAUACAUGGUAAACCGAUCCAAUUACUGACCACAGAUCCAAUUACAUGUAAAGGUUUGUAGUUUUGCUCAUUGCAAAUCAUGAAGAAAGGGCCGCCAUUGAAAGCACUCUCAUUGGCAACUAUCUUGAUAUGCGUAUGCUACUUGCCAAUUCUUCAACAUGGUGUACGGAGAUGGCCAUUAG
rnacentral:lncRNA from 1 species